rnacentral:rRNA from 1 species
UGGGGGAUAUUGCACAAUGGGCGAAAGCCUGAUGCAGCGACGCCGCGUGGGGGAUGAAGGCCUUCGGGUUGUAAACUUCUUUUGCUCUGAACAAGGCAUGCCUUUGGGGUGUGUUGAGUGUAGGGGUUGAUUAGCGCCGGCUAACUACGUGCCAGCAGCCGCGGUAAUACGUAGGGCGCGAGCGUUGUCCGGAAUUAUUGGGCGUAAAGGGCUUGUAGGUGGCUGGUUGCGUCUGUCGUGAAAGCUCAGGGCUUAACUGUGGGUUUGCGGUGGGUACGGGCUGGCUUGAGUGCAGUAGGGGAGGCUGGAAUUCCUGGUGUAGCGGUGGAAUGCGCAGAUAUCAGGAGGAAUACCGGUGGCGAAGGCGGGUCUCUGGGCUGUUACUGACGCUGAGGAGCGAAAGCGUGGGGAGCGAACAGG